rnacentral:rRNA from 1 species
UGGGGAAUUUUGGACAAUGGGCGCAAGCCUGAUCCAGCCAUUCCGCGUGAGUGAAGAAGGCCUUCGGGUUGUAAAGCUCUUUCGCAAGGGAAGAAAACUUAACCUCUAACAUAGGUUGAGGCUGACGGUACCUUGAUAAGAAGCACCGGCUAACUACGUGCCAGCAGCCGCGGUAAUACGUAGGGUGCGAGCGUUAAUCGGAAUUACUGGGCGUAAAGCGUGCGCAGGCGGCCUGAUAAGUCAGAUGUGAAAUCCCCGAGCUCAACUUGGGAACUGCGUUUGAAACUAUCAAGCUAGAAUAUGUCAGAGGGGGGUAGAAUUCCACGUGUAGCAGUGAAAUGCGUAGAGAUGUGGAGGAAUACCAAUGGCGAAGGCAGCCCCCUGGGAUAAUAUUGACGCUCAUGCACGAAAGCGUGGGGAGCAAACAGGAUUAGAUACCCUGGUAGUCCACGCCCUAAACGAUGUCUACUAGUUGUUGGUGGAGUAAAAUCCAUGAGUAACGCAGCUAACGCGUGAAGUAGACCGCCUGGGGAGUACGGUCGCAAGAUUA